UAUCGCUUCCAGGGGAGGCGCUCUCUCUUCUCCUGUGCGCGUGCGUGUGGAUGUGUGAGGCUGAGCGUGUCCGCUCCCUCCUCACGUACGCACUCGGCAGAUGCGUGUGUGCUCUCACACGCACACACGCGAGAGAGCACAUACAUACACAGCAGCAAAGGAAGGCCGCUGUGUUCUCCGUCAUGUUCGUCUUGCGCAUCGCCGGCGACGUGGACGGCUUCAAGCGCAACAUCGAGGUGUCUUUUUCACAUCGCCCGUCUCUUCAGCAAGUGUGCACCGUCGCGGAGGCGAUUCUUCCACUGCGAGAGCGGAGUGGUCGCCGGCUGUGGCGCUCAACGUGGGUGUCAGCAACGCAGGAUGCGGGAGACGACACCGCUAGCACUGCAGCGUCUUUCAGAGCUCCAGUUGAUGCCAGCCCGCGCGCCGCAGCACCGGCGGCCAUAUAUACUGUUGAGUCACUGGUUUACUUGAACAGGGCCACUCAUGAGUGGGAAGGGCUUUACAGCGCCUCUCAGCUCACGUCGGGGUCACAGGUGUACUGCUUCUUCCCUCUGCAGCAUCGUCGGGUGGCCGCGGCCAUAGGGAGAGGCUCGAGCACUGCGCUCCCCUCCUCGUCCUCUGCAUUUCCUGUACGAGAGGAGCACGUGAAUGAGGCCGAGUCGCCAAGCUUGCAGGCCUGCGCGAGUGUACCUGUCGGAAACGGGGUUCAACAGAGCCGGGCCGACCCCGAUAGCCCAGGCGCCAUUCCAGCGCCGCAGCAGCGCCUUGUCUGGGACUGCGCCAGUGGUGCUCGAGGUGGCGCUCGGCCGAGAUGGAAGGGCGUGGAUGGAGGCUUCAGUCACGUCGACUCUGCAUCUCCCUCGCCGAUGCAGGCAAGUGCGCGGAGCAGCAGUGAUGCGGCGCACGGCUUUGCCGCUGGACUGCGCCAAAGGCGCGUCUCGUCUUCUUUUUCGUCGUUUAGUCGCCGCCUCUCAUCCCUGUCACCCUCCAGCGGUGUUCCGUUCGGUGCCUCAGCGUGGUCAACCCUUUCGCCCACAGCAGGGACGGCACCUCGAGUGGUAUACAGGGCAAGCUCGCCGUCUUUUCGCUCCGCCCCCACCUUCUCCACCCCUCCCCGGCAUGUUGGCGCCGACUUUGUGUGCUCCGCGUCCCUGCCCACCCGCAAAGACUGCAGUGGUCUUGUGGAGGCGCAAGCCCAGAAGGCGUCACCAUCGCGGCGGCAUUCGACCUUGUCGCGGCUGCGCGAUGAUUGCAACAGUUUUCUCUCAGACUUGCACCAAGACUGGUCUGCGUUGCUGCUCAGCGGCGAGGGCGGGCGCGGCAACCGCUACGCCCAUCUCGGCGAUCGCCUGGCUUUUUUGUUCGACAUUUUGGUGCACCUUGACCCUCAAGAGGACGGCUCAGGGCAGCGGCAGUACAUCCUCUUGAGGGACUUCUAUCUCCUCGCCGCCUGCUUCACUUCCACUUUCACCGCUGCCGCUGCUCUUCCUCGCCCGACUUACGCUUCGAUGAGCGUCUAUGGCACGUCCAUCCCGUCGACGGUCAUGAACAUUACGGCAGAGCUGGAUGCACGGUUGCAUUGGACCUGGGACGAUGUCAUGCGACACGCGGACAAGGAUCGCGAUGGCUGCAUCGCGUACAGAGAGUGGAUCUCAUUCGGCAUCGAACACCCAGAGGUGAUUCAGCUGCUAUGCCGCGCUGUUCACACACUACUCCUGCGCGAGGCAGCUUCGUCAGGCAGUCAUUACGCCGACAGACACGCCAGCCCAGGUGCACAGACUCCGCUGUUAGCGCCUUCCGGUUACCUCUUCUCUCACUCCACCCCCUCCAUGAGGCAUGUGGGAGACAGGACUCGCAACAGCGAUGCCGAGCUUUUCUCAAGCGUCUUGCAAUGCUGCCGGAUGCAUCAAGGCCAGACCGGUGGCACAAACGCCGACAGAAUUAAAGUGAUGCGUGCCGCUGAAGUGCAUGGACGGCAUGCUGAGCGUUGCGAGGCGUGCCGCGAGAUGCAAGCCGAGCUCUCCGAGGGUUGCCGCGGCAGAGUAUCCGCGCAAACAAACAUUGCAUUCGCCCUGAGGCACUGAGAUGAGAGGCUACGUGUGCGCCUGUGGCGGUGGUGGUAGCGGUGGGGCUGCUUGGUGCAAGCUCUCGGUUCUCCUGAGUAGAGUUAAGCGCUCUCUAGCGUGUGUGGGAAGGGUGGCCACGUGUAUGCCGUGUGCGUGACCUGACGCGCGCAUCAGUGUAUGAAGCCGACGCUGCCCUCGGUGUCUUCUCCACGAACCUCGCUCGCGCUGUCGUCUACGGUCGCCGUUUUAUCAAAAUCGCCACGCAUUGAGGCGCUCCACUGAGAGCGCCAUACCUCCAUCUUUUCUAUACAUCACACAUGCGUACACACAUGCACACACAUACAUCAGGGAAUACCUCUCCUUGUCUGUUUAAGCGGGGUGCCUCGCUUACCUCCAUGCCGGCUCUGCUAGACUGCCGUUGGCUGCGCGAAGAAAAAAAUCCGCCCCGCCCCCUCCCCUAAACCACGCACACAAAGUGAAGUGCCGUCUCAUGGCUCUUUUCUCGCUCGAGAAGGCCUUUUCUUGUCUUGAGUGUGUCCCCGCUGCGCUCCCUCCCUCCCGCCGCGAACUUUCGGCACUGCACCGGGUGUGAACGCUGAGAGG
rnacentral:misc_RNA from 1 species